UCCAUUCUGUAUGUAUAAUAUUU
rnacentral:miRNA from 1 species